rnacentral:snRNA from 1 species
GGAUAUGAGGUUGCUCAGGCUGCAACAUCUGUCACCCCAUUGAUCACCAGAGUUAUUUGGCUGGUCUGGCUGCUGAGGCAGGUGUCCCUUUCCUCCCUCACUGCUCCAUAUGCAGUCCCUUCCGAAGCUGCACACUCUGGUCAAAGAUGACCACCCCCAACAGAGGAGGACUAUUUCCUCGGUCAGGGGUAUAUGAGUAGCUGUGCUCUCCUGCUAGAACCUCCAAACAAGCUCUCAAAAUGAGACCCUGACUCAAAAAAAAAAAAAAGACAAGAUUAAAAUGAACCAUAUGACCUUU